GGGGAAUAUUGGACAAUGGGCGAAAGCCUGAUCCAGCCAUGCCGCGUGUGUGAAGAAGGUCUUCGGAUUGUAAAGCACUUUAAGUUGGGAGGAAGGGUUGUAGAUUAAUACUCUGCAAUUUUGACGUUACCGACAGAAUAAGCACCGGCUAACUUCGUGCCAGCAGCCGCGGUAAUACGAAGGGUGCAAGCGUUAAUCGGAAUUACUGGGCGUAAAGCGCGCGUAGGUGGUUCGUUAAGUUGGAUGUGAAAGCCCCGGGCUCAACCUGGGAACUGCAGUGGAUACUGGAUCACUAGAGUGUGGCAGAGGGUAGUGGAAUUCCCGGUGUAGCAGUGAAAUGCGUAGAGAUCGGGAGGAACAUCAGUGGCGAAGGCGACUGCCUGGGCCAACACUGACACUGAGGCACGAAAGCGUGGGGAGCAAACA
rnacentral:rRNA from 1 species